AAUUAAUGAGCUUGAAUAAGCAUAUGCCUUGAAAGCAUAGGAAAGGGAUAAUUUCCCUAUUAAUU
rnacentral:tRNA from 1 species